rnacentral:tRNA from 17 species
GGUGAAGUGUCCGAGCGGUUGAAGGAGCACGCCUGGAAAGUGUGUAUACAGGAAACUGUAUCAAGGGUUCGAAUCCCUUCUUCACCGCCA